CCUAGGUCGUUAUGGCAACAGUCUGAAGAAGCAAAAACAUCCGCCGUCUCUGCGUUCAGAACAAAAGUUUACUGGGCCCUGAAGGGAGAGCGAGUCAGAGACCUCGGGAUACAACCAUCCCUCAGUGACUGGAUCCCCCAGCUGAGGACCUAACACUGAACUUUGGAGAGAGGCUUCUCAGUCAAGUCAUAAGUGAGGAGAAGUGCACUCCGAGGGCUGUACGAUGUCGGGCGAAGCCCAGGAUAAGAUAGGUCUGAGCCUGGAGGAUGGUGGAUGGCUGUGCGUGGCAGGGCAAGCAAGAUCUCGUAACCCAACUGACCCAGUUUCUGAGCUAUGUACAGUGAGGACUGGUCAUUUUGAGGCCCCUCUUGUCUGUGAAGUAGCCACAAUACCGCUGUCCUGCAAAACUGCUCAGGACACUAGAUGAGAUAAUAUAUAUGUUUGGAGCGGUGCAGAGAUCUCCCCACAGCCCACUGACAUUGAUGCACGUAAGUCCUCUGAGAAAUGGCAACGAAUACAUUAAGGUUUCGACGUCUUCCUC